GUUUACAGCCACGCCACCCUGAACAUGCCCGAGUCUGAUCUUGGAAGCUAAGCAGGGUCGAGCCUGGUUAGUACUUGGAUGGAAGACCACCAAGAAUACCAGGGGCUGUAAGCU
rnacentral:rRNA from 1 species